UUUCAUUUACACAUGCUUAGAUAUAUAUUUGAUCUCUCCCUUCUUUACUCUUGUUUUCUUUCACUUCUCCCUGAUGUACAUCCAUUAAAGUAUAAAUUGAGACCUGAAAGGGAAAGUAGAGAUCAUUUAAGUUUAACUGUUUAUUUUACACCUGAGUUUCUGAGGCUAGUAAAUUAAGUGAUGUGUUGGAAGGCCACACAGCUAUCUUUAUAGAUAUAAGACAGUGAUAAUUAUUUUUUCUUCCUGAGUUUUCCUUUUCUGUUAUCUUACAGUUGUCAGGUAAAGAUGUACCUGUUGAAUGUUCAUGUCAAAAUUUGCAAUGCUUUAUCCAGCGUAAACUUUUCAAUUUCCAUAUAUUUAAGUAUUUAUCUAACAGUACACAUGGCAUAUAUCCUAACAACUAUUGAGAGGCAAGAGGCAUGUAUAGAACUUUUUGCUUUAGGGGAGGGAGAGAAUGUAUUUUCAAUGAAAAAUACCUGGCAAAAUAAAAUAUCAAAGUGAAAUCAAAAAGGAUGAAAAGCAGUAGCAAGUACCAUGGAUAGUGUGAUAGAGUUGGGGUCAGGAAAAACUAAGGUCAGUCCUUCCUCAGACAUUUAUUAUCUACUGGAUCCUGGGCAAGUUUUUAACCUCCAUUUAUUUCAGUUUACUUAUCUAUAAAAAAGGGGACAAUAAUAGCACCUAUUUCCAAAGUUGUUAUAAAGAUAAAAUGAGAUAAAUAUUUGAAAAGCAUUUUGCAGACCUUAAAGGACUAUAUGAAUAUUAUUGUUAUUAAUUCCUCUGGUAAUGUUUUUAAUGUUUUAUUUUACAAAAAGAAGGGAAAAUUCUACAUAAAAGUAUUAUUUACUUCAAUUUUUGCUAUUUUUUCAAUGGAAAACAUUUAUCUUUUUCCUCAAUUUCCACCUUCAUCCUCUACAACAAAAAAAGAAAAACACUUAUAAUAAUUAUUUGAUUAUAAUAAUAAUCAAAACAAAUUCCCAUAUUGGCCAGAUAUGUCCAAAAAUUUGUAUCUCGUUCUUCAUGUUUAAUCCAUUGCCUCCCCAUUAAGAUGGCGUAACAUUCUUCAUUAUUAGUUUUCUGGAAUCAUGAUUGAUGAUCACAUUGAACCAAGUACUUAGUUUUUCACAGUAAUUCAUUUUUGUAGCAUUGUUAUUAAGACUAUAAAUUAUUCUCCUGGUUCUGCUUACUCUACUCUGCAUCAGUUUAUUUCAUUUCAGAACCUGAUUAAAAUCAGUCUUUCCAGGGUUUUCUGAAAUGAUUCCCUCCUCCAAUUCUGUUGGCAGUACAUUUCAUUCUUUUUAUUUUUAUUUUGGGGAGCAAUUGAGUUAAGUAACUUGCCCAAGGACAAACACCUAGUUAGUGUUAAAUGUCUAAGGUCAGAUUUGAAUUAGAUCUUCUGACUCCAGGGUCAGUGCUCUAUUCACUGCACCAUCUAGCUGUCCCAGUACAUUUGAUCCACAUAUCACAAUUUCUUCCUAUACAUCAUAUACAUAUAUACAUCAAUAUAUGAACAAACCCUCAAUUUCCAGUCUUUUGACAUGUAUGUGUAAAUACCCCUUUUCAUUUUCUUGUAUCUUUUUGCAAUAUAGAUUUAAUAAUGUAUCUCUGGAUCAGUGAUUUAUACAUAAUUUAGUAACUUCUUUGGGCAAAACUCCAAACUGCUUGAAUUUGUAUAAUUUUAUUAACCAAUUAAUCAUUGUAUUUUUAUUUAGACUUGGUCCUAUGUGUACUUCUUUCAUUAUACUUUUGAUGGACUCAUGAUUUCAUUAUAGUCUUCCCUCUACUAAUAUAGCUCAUGACUACCUCAUGCAUUGUCUUUCUUGCUAAAUAUUUGUUGAAAUGAAUUGAAUUUUAUUGAAUCCUAAAAGUUAUCAAAAUGUGCAUACCCUUUAGCAGAAUCUCUAUGGGGCUUAUAUCCCAGGGAAAAGGGACCCAAGUGUGCAAAAAUGUUUGUGACAGCCCUUUUUAUAGUGGCAAGAAAUUGGAAACUGAAUGGAUGCCAAUCAGUUGGAGAAUGGCAGAAUAAAUUGUGGUAUAUAAAUGUUAUGGAAUAUUAUUGUUCUGCAAGAAACGACCUACAGGAUGAUUUCAGAGAGGCUUGGAGAGACUUACAUGAACUAAUGCUAAAUGAAAUGAGUAGGAUCAGGAGAUCAUUAUACACAGCAACAAGAAGACUAUACGAUGAUCAGUUCUGAUAGAGGUGGCUCUCUUCAACAAUGAGAUGAUUCAAAACCAAUUCCAUUUGUUCAGUGAUGAAGAGAGCCAUCUACAUCCAGACAGAGGAUUGUGCGAACUGAGUGUGAACCACAACAUAGCAUUUUCACUCUUUCUGUUGUUUGCUUGCAUUUUGUUUUCUUUUUCAGGUUUUAUUUUUUUUCCUUCUUGAUCUGAUUUUUCUUGUGCAGCAAGAUAACUGUAUAAAUAUGUAUACAUAUAUUGGAUUUAACAUAUUUUAACAUAUUUAACAUGUAUUGUACUACUUCCCAUCUAGGGAAGGGGAUGGAGGAAAGGAUGGGAUAAUUUGGAACAGAAGGUUUUGCAAGGGUCAAUGUUGAAAAAUUACCCAUGCAUAUGUUUUGUAAAUAAAAAGCUUUAAUAAAAAACAAAACAAAAUUAAUUUUAUUGAAUCCUAUGUGAUUUCUCAUAAUUUGGGGAGUAAGUUGUCCAGAGAAUAUUCAAUCCUUUUUUGGUUAUUUACCUUUGUGAUAAUGCUACUUCUUAUAUACAGGUUGCCCUUAAUUAAAUAGUGCAGUCUGUUUAUUCUUGGCAAAAUUUUAAUUCUUUAAGAUAUAGUAUUUGUUUGCAGUCAUUACCAUAGGAACAGGAGAUGUAGUUGGAUUGUCCUUAGUGUUCAAAGAAGACCAAAAUGACUUCACUAUGUCAGGGUCAAGAACACAGUGUGUCUAAUAGUGGGUGAUUUUGGAAGAUUUGGGCACAAAUAAUUCAUGUGAAUAUUUGGAGUGGAGAUGUUUCUAAAGUUGCUCAUUUCAUAUUUCUUUUGAGCCACUGCAAUUUUGUUUUGUAAGGUAUUAGAAAUAGGUUUUUCCAGCAGCAGGUAUUUGGGGUUCAUUGACAGUAAUGCUGAAAAAUCUCCCAAAUCUCAUAUAUCUCCAUCUUAUUUUCCUAGUCAUUUUUGAAUUCAAUUCAUUUUUCUUUUUGCUGUUGUUUGAGUGCAUAAAAUUGCCCAAAAAAUUUCUUUUUCCAUUGUGCAUAGUUAUAUCUUUCAUAUCACUAUGGAUCACCCAAAGUCAGUUGAAAGGUCAUCCAAUACAAUCUAUAUUCAAAGAGGCAUAAUCUGUAAUAUACACAACAAGUGGUCAUCCAUUAUUCAUUACUGACGGGGAAUCUUCCAUCUAUUCACACUGGCAUGAUCUAAGGAAAGGUUUACUACUUUUCUAGCCUGUGCUGUGGCCAGAGUGCUUGGCAUUUUUUUUGUCCUGAAACUGUAAGGAGGGUGCUUACUGUACUGUGGCUGCAAGCUCCUCAACCUAUGGCCUGCAUCAGACUAUGGACAAAACAGCAGAGUUUUGCCUUAGUGCUAGCAAAGAGACCCUUGUAAUCUUCUAGACUGUUGCGCAAUCCCCUUCUUGUCUGGAACUGAAAACUCCAGAAGUUGCCACUGCUGAUUUCAUUGGUUCCCAAAGCCUGUUCCUGGCUUGUUGGUGCUGGGACUAUGCUGUCUUGGCCUGUGCUUUGAAGUCUGUUGACUGAGAGGUUUAGAAACCAUCCCUGCUACCACAGAGGUAGCACUGAUUCAGUUGCUUUGAGGUCCUGGUUUGCUAGGGCUAGGGUUAUACUGACAUGGUUUAGACUGUUCUUCAAUCUCAUUCUGGUGUGACAGAUCUUUCAUCCUGAUCUUCUAAGUUGUCUUGGGCUGGAAAAUUGUUUCACUCUGUCCUUUUUUUCUUUUUUGGUGCUGUUGCUCUAGAAUUUGUUUAAAGGUUUUUGAACAGGUUUGGGGGAGAGCUUAGGUGAGUCCCUGCUUUUACUCCAUAUCUUGGUUCCACCUCCAUCACAAGUUCAUUUUAUUUUUCCUUAUAUCUUAUGAUUGCUAAAUCUGUUCUUGAUAAUCCUUUUUAUAUUCUCUAUCCCUCAGUUCUUUCCCAAAGCUUCAUGUAUUCCUGUGUAAUCUUGUAUUUUCAUUAGAAACAGAUGUUACCUACUGGUCAUCCUGCCAUCUAGAGGAGGGGGUGGGGGGAAAGGAAGGAAAAAUUGGAACAAAAGGUUUGGUAAUUGGCAAUGCUGUAAAAUUACCCAUACAUAUAACUUGUAAAUAAAAAGCUAUUUAAAAAAAAAAAGAAAAAGAAAUAGAUGUUGUAUUUUGCCAAGCUUUUUCUGCAUCUAUUGAAAUAAUAAUAUGAUUUCUGUUGCUAAUAUUGAACUAAUCUGCAUUCCUUAUAUAAAUCCUACUUGGUAUAAGGUAUUAUUGUAAUGAUAAUCUGCAAUGUCUUUGAUAACUUUAUUUAAAAUAUUUGCAUCAGUAUUCUUUAGGUACAUUAGUCUAUAGUUUUCUUUCUGUUAUGAGUUCAAAUGUUGGAGUUCUUGUUCUUCUCAAAACACAGGGCUUAGAGGCUUAGAGCCCUCCGAAUAUCUCCAAAUCCAAAGGUUCUGUCCUUCAGCCUCUGCCUCUGCUUUCUUCAGCCUCCAACCAACACAGAGAUGGAAUGUCUCUCUUGUCUCCUUCUGGGGAGCCCAGCCACCAACUUGCCGUGGAGAGAGGGCUUCUGGCGUAGCUCCACUGAAAUCCGUCAAAGUGUUCUCUGCACCAGAGUCGCUCCUCUCGAGUCCAGCUGAACUCUCUUCUGCGACCAGCCAGCCAAGAGGAAAAAAUGUAUUCUGUCUUAGAUCCCUCAUCGCUGGCCUUUUAUCUGACUCUUCUGAGAGAAUGGGAUUAUGGGUUUUCUCCCAUAGUGCUCUCUGGCCCAAAGAGCUUUAAGGGAGGUGUGGACUCCCUUGAAGUUAGAAAGUUUACUUUGUGAAGCUGGCAUACUUGUAACUCCAAUGAGUAAAGGUGUGAACACAAGCAUUGUAUUAAUUAGUUCUACUUAGUACCUUGUUUCAGGUUCUGGCCAAAAUCUUCUUGUAAGAUUAGAUCAACUCUAAUUAGUUAGCAGUUAGUAAGGAUUCCAACAUCUUUCCCUUGGCUCUUCCUCGUUUAGAUAUUAGCACUAUAUUUGUGUUGUAAAAGUAAUUUGGCUGGACUCUUUCUUUACCUGUUUUUCGAAAUUGUAUUGGAAUUAAUUUUUAAAUGCUUGAUAGAAUUCAUUUGGGCCUAAAAAUUUUUUCUUAGGGAGUAGUAAUUGUUGAUGACUUAUCAAUUUUUCCCCCUAAAAUGGGAUUAAAUAUUUUAUUUUCUCUUCUAUUAAUCUAGGCAGUUUAUAUUUUUAUAAAUAUCCAUUAGUUAAAAUGUAAGAUUUAUUGGCACUGGACAGUAUGUUUCUUUAAUUUUUUCUUCAUUUGUGGUGAUAAUUUGGUUUUCUUAUUUCUUUUUUAGAAUCAAAUCAAGCAAAGAUUUAUCCAUCUAUGGAUUUUUUCAUAAAACCAGCUCUUAGUUAAGUUUUCUCACUUUUAGUUUUAUUAAUCUUUCCUCUGAUUUUCAGAGUACCUAAUUUGGAAUUUAAGGUUUAAUUUGUUCUUUUUCUAAUUUUUUUUUUUUUUAGUUGCAUGCCCCCAAUCCAUUGGUCUCCUUUUUCUCUAUUUUAUUCAUGUAAGCAUUUAGAGAGAUAAAAUGUCUCCUAAGAACUGUUUUAUCUGCAUGCCAUAAAUUUUGGUAUGUUGUCUCAUUAUUGUUAUUCUCUUGGGUGAAAUUGACAAUUGUUUCUAUGAUUUGUUCUGUCCACUUUAGGAUUAGAUUAUUUAGUUUCCAAUUAACUUCAUGAUCUGAAAAAGAUACAUUAUGAGAUGGGUUUUUUUGCCAUCAUACAUAGUCAGUUUUUCUUUUAAGUGAUAUGUAUUGAGAAAAAUGUAAAUUCCUUUCUUAUACCUAUUAAUUUUUUCCCAAAAUCUGUCAUCUAAUUUUCCUAAAAUUCUGUUUAAAUACUUUUUUAUUUUGUGGUUAGAUGUAUUCUAAAAGGGCAAAAUUGAAGUCUUCUACUAAUAUUAUCCUAUUGUCUCUUCCUGUAACUCAUUUAACUUCUUUCCUAAGAAUUGGGAUAUUGGAACAUAUAUGUUUAGUAUUGAUAUAACUUCACUGUCUAUGGUACCUUUUAGCAAGAUGUAGUUUCCUUCCUUGUCUUUUAAUUAGAUCUAUUUUUGCUUUUGCUUUUGUAUGAAACCAGACCCUACCCUUGCUUUUUUGUACUUUGGCUGAAGCAUAAUAUAUUUUGCUCCAGCCUUUAACUUUUAGUCUGUGUGUGUCUCUGCUUCACAUGUGUUUUUUGUAAAACAUACUGUAGGAUUCCGUUUUUAAUCCACUCUGUUAUCUACUUCUGUUUUAUAGGAGAGUUCACUCUAUUAAAUUUCAUAGUUAUUAUUAUUUGUAUAUUUUCCUCCAAUCCUGUUUCCCUGCAAAGUUUAUAAUUUUAUCUCUCCUUUCACUUUUUUCCUUUCCCAGAGUUGAGCAUUAGCUCAACAUUAUACUCUUUGAAUUCCAUUUGACUCUUUUAUGUUUGUCCUGUUGUCAUUCAAGUACUAACAUAGGAUUACUCCAACCUCCUACCUUCUCUAUUCCUUGUCAUCUGCUACUGAAUGAUGGAUUUUAUCUAUCAUCAUACUGACUAUAUCCACUACAAAUUUGUUAGAUAAUCUCAAUUGGCCCUUCAGCAAGACAUUGCUAUCUACUCCCUGUUUUCUGUUUUACUUCUUGAAACUUCUUGACAUCUUUCCCCUUUUCACUUUUUUUACUGCAGUCCUUUGAUGACUCCUUAGCUAAGCUAAUUUCCCCACUUAAACCUUUCACCUCCUAUCUUCUGUAUCUCUAAUCUUCAGUUGCUUCCCAUCUACUGCCUCAAUUUUCAACAAUUCUCUCCCAUCAUUAAUACUUUUUCCUGAUUCCCACAAGCUUUUUUCAUUAGAAUGUUACUUACAUUUGGGCAGUCAAGAUCUGUGUUCAAAUUCAGCCUUAACCACUCAUUAGGAAACUUAAUCUUUUUUUCCCCCUUCAGUUUCUUCAUAUGUAAAAUGGGUAAUAAUAGCACUUAGCAUCUAGAAUUGUUAUGAGGAUCAAAUAAGAUAAUAAUAGUAAAGCACUUACGUAAAUGUUAGCUGCUAGUGUUGUUGUUUUCAUUAUCAUAUAUUCAGUUUUUGUGUCAUUGAUUCAUUUAUUUAACUUUAGAGUUCUUGUUUAACAUCACUAAACUGAAUCAAUAAUUAUUUUAUAAUGCCCUCCUUGAAAAUUUUCUACUCCCUUAUAUGACCUACAAAUUUUUAACCAAAAUACUUAAUUACUUUCUUUUAGAAUAAUUGAAAUAAAUUGCAGGGAUGGGUUUAAUAUUUUCAUCCCUCAUAUAUUUUUAUAAAUGAAAGAAUAUAUUCUUUGAACUUUCUUUAGAGAAGAAUUAGAGGUAGUAAUCUGUUAAAAUUCUUGAAGUUUUUUCCAUGAAUAUUCAACUUCAAAAGUUUUUGAUGAAAAUUAGAAUUGUGAUGUCUGAAUAAAGCUUUUCUUGACCUUGU